CGGCACCUGCCCGGGCGCUGCCCCCUGCGGCCCGGCGCGCAGCCCUCCUGCUGCCGAGCCGCAGGAACCGCUCGCCCGUGCUGCUCCUCCUCUCCCGCCGCGCAGCCCUGCGGAAGGGCAUGCGGUAUUGCUUCCUCACCGCACUCCUGUUUGGCUGAGAAAAAAAACUGCAGCACUUGUCAUCUCAGAGUCCUGUUAGUCCUUCAGUACUCCUCGGAGGUCAGUCGACUUAAGCCAGGAAUUCCUGUACUGGCGUUUCUGGCGGAUCCGUACACAUAACAUCUGCUGUCAGUCACCGCAGGCUGGAAAUCAGCAGCACAGAGGCCAAGAAAAAUUGCUACUACUCCACUUAAGCUCUCCUAUAAUUGUUUGUAAAACAUUUUAUCCCCAGAAAAAGCAUCGCGAUGCACGAAAGCAUUGGUAGUGAAGUAAAUACUCGCUACGUUCAGAGAUCAAGAGGUUCUGCCCCUUCCUGACACUGGGAAUACCAUCUCUGUACCUUUAUUUGUCCCUUCCCCUCUUGGCUUUGCAUAUAGACAAUUGUCAGUUCUUUGGGAAUAUGGAGCAGCUCUCACAUGACAAGAAGUGCGAUACAAGCAAUGUUGUUGCACGGUGUCCUUCAUGUUUCCCAACCAAGUAUUAAUUAAAGCAGUACACACAUAAACCUGGAACAGGGAAUUGCCUUUCUUUUAAUUGAUAUUUUUUAUAAAUCUUUAAUUCCAGACAAACUGGCAGCAUUUCACAAACCACAGUCUGAAUCUUGUCAAGUGGUGAGAACUCUAAUCUUGAUCCAGAAAACAGUUAUGCACAUGCCCAGCUCCAAGCAUAUGGAAGUCUUACUGAUUUGUGGGCUUGAGAUUCCUAUCCUUCCAGCAAAGAGAGCUGCAAAGAACACGCUUCGCUACAAAAGGACGCAGGAAGGAUCGACACUGGUUAAAUACUCUGAAUGAAAGAUACCAGAAAGUCCACAGGAUUUUUUAGCUGUCCUUUGAAAGGCUCUGAUUAUACAGCAUGUUCAACUCAGCUCUUCUAGACAGGCUGAACUAUUGCUUAGACUGUACAGCCUGCGAAGCGAAGCCAGAGUGGAUGUAACUGUUGUGUGUCAAUACAUCAACAGGUGGGGCAAAGAACUCUGAGAGAUAAGGGAUGGUUUAAGUAUAGGGGCAAACUAGCUAUAAAUAAGCAGCAGAAAAUGACUAUACCUAUCAUAAAGGGAGGACCUGGAAGAGCCUCCCUAUGGGAACCCCAGAGACAAAACCAAACAAAGCAGACUUUGUCAGGCGUUGCAUGGUGUGAUGUAUGAAACAGCAGAGGAACGAAUUUGGUGACUCAGCCCAAUUUCCCUCGCAGGAAUGCCUCACUGCAGCAGUUAGACUCUUGAACUUUUUUCACAGAACCUGAGACUAGAAAAGACAAAUAAUACCUGACACCCAUAAAGAGAAGGACAAGAGUGGGACCCUACCUGAAGCCUUGGACAAAGAGUCAAGAGGAUCCUGCUUUACCAAGAUACAAGACAAGCUGUCCUGCUUGCCAAAGCCAGGCUUUCACAUCAUUCUGAGCUCACAGCACCAGUGUCAUUGCUUCAAUAAUGAAGUGACCUUCAAAGCCUUGAGAAAAAAGCAUACAUCAGUGCACGAAAGCUGAUUAAAAGACUAGUUUCAAGAGUGCAGUGGGUGAGGGAUUGAUUAGUCCCUCAGACACCAAUUUCCCUUUAACAGUUAAGGAAAGGCAUUCCAAAACCAAUCUAUCCUAGAGCAGCUUGGGACAGAGAGGGAUACUGUUGCCCAGAUGUUCAGUAAUAGGUGUCAAAGAGAUGUCUGCAGGCACUCAAAUACCAUGGCCAUGAAUUUAACAUAAACAAACAAACAAACAAACAAACAAAAAAAAAAAAACCCAAAAAAACCAAACAACAAAAAAAAACAAAAACCAAGUUGCAUGAUUUUACCCAGGAUGGUCAGAGUAGUUUUCAGCUCCAGUCCUUCCGAGUCCAUCCCUGUGCUGGUCAGCAGUGAGGUCAAUCAGGUCCCUUCUUUGGAGUGCUUUGGCUCAUCCACUGAGGAGUGUUUGCAAUCCUGUACAGGAAACAGCAAUAACCUGUUGGUGGAGAUCACGCUGCUGUUUGUGGAUUUCUCUGUAGUUCUGGCUGUACUUACCUCCGUGGCUGAACAGUGAAUAUUUCUGAACUGUCAAAAGCUGGAUGGUGUCUGCAAUGAUACGUUUUUGUUCUAUAUGAAAGUUGUGGGAGUUCAUUUAUUAGAAGAAAGGUGCCCCAGGAAAGCCAAGCCGUGCUAAUCACAGUCUUGCAAUGCUGCAGAUGGGGAUUAAAAUCCACUACACAAACACAUCAGAAACCACACUUCUUGUGCAUACAGUGAGAGAACACACCUAGUUCUCUCCUUAAUGGCUCACACAGCUUCCUGAAAACAGAUCAACAACACAUCUCUGAAAGCAAUAAGGAGCCAUGCAGCCAUAUCUGACUCAUUCCAUUUGAUAAAAUAAAUUAACAAGCUAGAGAAAAAAGGAAAAUGUGAUACUUUUCCAAACCCAGCUGGGUUAGGGAAGAAAGUUGCACAGAACUGUUCAGAGCAGAGCAACACACCUUCCCUUGACUUCCUAGGACUUGCACCCUUUCCUUGGGAUCCACAGGCUCACAAGCCUUACAGGGCUCAGCAAGCUUAUCUUCCCCUGCCAUCACAGAUGCUUAAAAGGGAUUUCAGGAGCAGAGGUCGGAUGCCAGGCUCAGUCCUGCUAAAUACAUUUCUGCCUGGAGUGGGAGGCAAAGGAAUGGGCAGACCCCCAGCUCAAGUGCUCCCAGGGCUGAGAUGCAAUCAUAGCCACAGCUGAACACUCAGCCCCUCUGUCCCCCUUUUGAUUUCUUAUUUUAAUAGGCAGUUAACUUUGUCUACAUUUAAAAUAUCAGCACAGGGCAUCUGAGUUGGCAGGCACUGAGGUGAACUGGGCCAGUUCCAGAUUCUGCAACCGCAUCACUCAGCAUGGAAAAGAGAGGUCGAGUGCAUCUCAGCAACCCUACCAUCCACAGCUUCUCAUUUGCUUUUAUCUCUUUUGUAGGCAAGUUUAGAUUUUGGGGAGCAGAGCUGUGCCUGGAACAGUACUGUCCCUGUUCAAACCCUCCGCAGACUCAAGUGCUGCCUUACCAGUGUCACACCAAACCAGGUGUGACAGGAUGCAGCCUCAUUCGAUAUGGGGAAGGACAGACUGGGGAACUAAACCAGUGCUUUUCAACCAUUUACUGAUUGGAAAUAACAUGUGUCCACAGGCCACAGGUCAAGAUCUACCAAGACCCAGUAUUUUUACAUAAUCUGCAUCUGCUAAAUUUUAAAUAUCAAAUGCACAAAAUUGAGUUUGGUAGAUACAAUAGUAAAAAAAAAAAAAAAAACACAAAAAACCAAACAAACAAACAAACCACCAAAAACUCACCCCCCCAAAAAAACAACAAAAAAAACCCAAAAAACAAAAACAAAAACAAACAAACAAACAAACAAAAAACAAAACAAAAAAACCCCACAAAACACAACAAAAAAACCCCAAAAACAACCCCCCAAAAAAAGGUAGUGAAGUACAUCUGGAAAACUAACCCAUCUAUCUUUACUGGUGAAAGAAGGACAGAAAAUAUAAGAUUUUUUUUCCAUUAUAAAGCUGACUUGAAGCCAUGUUUCCUCAGAAUGACUGAGAAAAAGUCACAGAAAACAGCAGUCUGAGAAUCAAAUGUGAGACCGAACCUCAGAAAAAGAAUGAUCAUAGCAAUUACUUUCUGAAAAUCUGACUCUUUUCCUGCUAGAAACAAAUUCUAAGCACAAAAAGCUGCUGAAACAGAUGAAGGCUAACAGACUCAAGCAGUUGUAUGUGCCCUGGAGUUUAUAAGGAAGGGAACUUCAUAGAGAUUUACAACAUCAGUGAGUAAAAGGAAGGUAACAGAACUGACAUAUUUGGCUUUAAACCAACAUUUGGAAGACUGAAUCACAGGAUUCUGAAUAUAACUAAUUCACAUCUCUUUUGACAUAACAGCACUCACAUAAUUUGAGAACUGGCUUAAGAAUUGUGAAUAAGGAAUAAAAAUAGCAAAUAACUGA